rnacentral:rRNA from 1 species
GUGGGGAAUAUUGGACAAUGGGCGAAAGCCUGAUCCAGCAAUGCCGCGUGAGUGAAGAAGGCCUUAGGGUUGUAAAACUCUUUCGCCGGUGAAGAUGAUGACGGUAGCCGGUAAAGAAGCCCCGGCUAACUCCGUGCCAGCAGCCGCGGUAAUACGGAGGGGGCUAGCGUUGUUCGGAAUUACUGGGCGUAAAGCGCGCGUAGGCGGCGCACGCAGUCAGAGGUGAAAGGCCUGGGCUCAACCCAGGAACUGCCUUUGAUACUGGUGUGCUAGAGUCCGGGAGAGGGUAGUGGAAUUCCCAGUGUAGAGGUGAAAUUCGUAGAUAUUGGGAAGAACACCGGUUGCGAAGGCGGCUACCUGGAACGGUACUGACGCUGAGGUGCGAAAGCGUGGGGAGCAAACAGG